rnacentral:rRNA from 1 species
GACGAACGCUGGCGGCGUGCUUAACACAUGCAAGUCGAACGGAAAGGCCCCCUUGUGGGGUACUCGAGUGGCGAACGGGUGAGUAACACGUGAGUAACCUACCCUUGACUUUGGGAUAACUUCAGGAAACUGGGGCUAAUACCGGAUAGGAGCUCCUGCUGCAUGGUGGGGGUUGGAAAGUUUCGGCGGUUGGGGAUGGACUCGCGGCUUAUCAGCUUGUAGGUGGGGUAGUGGCUCACCAAGGCUUUGACGGGUAGCCGGCCUGAGAGGGUGACCGGCCACAUUGGGACUGAGAUACGGCCCAGACUCCUACGGGAGGCAGCAGUGGGGAAUAUUGCACAAUGGGCGGAAGCCUGAUGCAGCAACGCCGCGUGCGGGAUGACGGCCUUCGGGUUGUAAACCGCUUUCGCCUGUGACGAAGCGUGAGUGACGGUAAUGGGUAAAGAAGCACCGGCUAACUACCUG